rnacentral:rRNA from 1 species
AUUGAACGCUGGCGGCAGGCUUAACACAUGCAAGUCGAGCGAGCGGCGGACGGGUGAGUAAUGGCUGGGGAACUGCCUGAUGGAGGGGGCUAACUACUGGAAACGGUAGCUAAUACCGCAUACCAUCAGAGGAGGCCAGAUGGGAUUAGCAAGUAGGUGGGGUAAUGGCGCAGCUAGGCGACGAUCCCUAGCUGGUCUUAGAGGAUGACCAGCCACACUGGAACUGAGACACGGCCCAGACUCCUACGGGAGGCAGCAGUGGGGAAUAUUGCACAAUGGGCGCAAGCCUGAUGCAGCCAUGCCGCGUGUGUGAAGAAGGCCUUCGGGUUGUAAAGCACUUUCAGCGAGGAGGCGUUACUCGCAGAAGAAGCACCGGCUAACUCCGUGCCAGCAGCCGCGGUAAUUC